rnacentral:snRNA from 1 species
AAGUUUGGGUAAGAGCUGUGACAUCUGCCACCCUAUGGGUCACCAGGGUUGACGCAGCUGCCCUGGGUGGCUAGCGGGUUGAUCCCUUCCCUUCCCCAUGACUCUGUGCAUCCCUCUCCUGAAGCAGCAUGCUAAGCUAACCUUCUGCUAUGGAGAAGAGCCAUUCUUCUGUCAAUGGAACAUGAGUAGCUGCACUCCCCUGCUAGAAACCAGCUAAUAGUCUCUCAAAAGCCCAGUGUGGCAUGAUUGCUUGAUGGAGAGGGGCUCCAUUAGGUUCCUUUAUCAAUCUGUUAGUUUCUUCAUGGGAACUGAAAUCAGAC